GCUCGAGUGGCGAACGGGUGAGUAACACGUGAGUAACCUGCCCUUGACUUUGGGAUAACUUCAGGAAACUGGGGCUAAUACCGGAUAGGAGCUCCUGCUGCAUGGUGGGGGUUGGAAAGUUUCGGCGGUUGGGGAUGGACUCGCGGCUUAUCAGCUUGUUGGUGGGGUAGUGGCUUACCAAGGCUUUGACGGGUAGCCGGCCUGAGAGGGUGACCGGCCACACUGGGACUGAGAUACGGCCCAG
rnacentral:rRNA from 1 species